rnacentral:rRNA from 1 species
UAGGGAAUCUUCGGCAAUGGGGGGAACCCUGACCGAGCAACGCCGCGUGAGUGAAGAAGGUUUUCGGAUCGUAAAGCUCUGUUGUUAAGGAAGAACGAGUGUGAGAAUGGAAAGUUCAUACUGUGACGGUACUUAACCAGAAAGGGACGGCUAACUACGUGCCAGCAGCCGCGGUAAUACGUAGGUCCCGAGCGUUGUCCGGAUUUAUUGGGCGUAAAGCGAGCGCAGGCGGUUAGAUAAGUCUGAAGUUAAAGGCAGUGGCUCAACCAUUGUAGGCUUUGGAAACUGUUUAACUUGAGUGCAGAAGGGGAGAGUGGAAUUCCAUUUGUAGCGGUGAAAUGCGUAGAUAUAUGGAGGAACACCGGUGGCGAAAGCGGCUCUCUGGUCUGUAACUGACGCUGAGGCUCGAAAGCGUGGGGAGCGAACAG